ensembl:snoRNA
CCUCUUUUUGCUCUUCCUAAUCACACAGGCCCAGCGUAUGCUUGGAAUGUUUCCAAAGAGUGAAAGGAAGGCUCUCCUAAUGCAUAACCGACUUGUCCACAAUGGUUCUCUGCUCCUAGGAGUACAACAUCU